UAAUGCAAGUCGAGCGAAUGAUGAAGAAGCUUGCUUCUUCUGAUUUAGCGGCGGACGGGUGAGUAACACGUGGGCAACCUACCUAGUAGAUUGGGAUAACUCCGGGAAACCGGGGCUAAUACCGAAUAAUCCAUUUUGUCACAUGGCAAAAUGCUGAAAGGCGGUUUCGGCUGUCACUACUAGAUGGGCCCGCGGUGCAUUAGCUAGUUGGUGGGGUAAUGGCCUACCAAGGCAACGAUGCAUAGCCGACCUGAGAGGGUGAUCGGCCACAUUGGGACUGAGACACGGCCCAAACUCCUACGGGAGGCAGCAGUAGGGAAUCUUCCACAAUGGACGAAAGUCUGAUGGAGCAACGCCGCGUGAGUGAUGAAGGUUUUCGGAUCGUAAAACUCUGUUGUAAGGGAAGAACAAGUACGUUAGUAACUGAACGUACCUUGACGGUACCUUAUUAGAAAGCCACGGCUAACUACGUGCCAGCAGCCGCGGUAAUACGUAGGUGGCAAGCGUUGUCCGGAUUUAUUGGGCGUAAAGCGCGCGCAGGUGGUUUCUUAAGUCUGAUGUGAAAGCCCACGGCUCAACCGUGGAGGGUCAUUGGAAACUGGGAGACUUGAGUGCAGAAGAGGAAAGUGGAAUUCCAAGUGUAGCGGUGAAAUGCGUAGAGAUUUGGAGGAACACCAGUGGCGAAGGCGACUUUCUGGUCUGUAACUGACACUGAGGCGCGAAAGCGUGGGGAGCAAACAGGAUUAGAUACCCUGGUAGUCCACGCCGUAAACGAUGAGUGCUAAGUGUUAGGGGGUUUCCGCCCCUUAGUGCUGCAGCUAACGCAUUAAGCACUCCGCCUGGGGAGUACGGCCGCAAGGUUGAAACUCAAAGGAAAUUUGACGGAACU
rnacentral:rRNA from 2 species